GAUGAAGAACGCAGCAAAAUGCGAUACUUGGUGUGAAUUGCAGAAUCCCGUGAACCAUCGAGUUUUUGAACGCAAGUUGCGCCCGAAGCCUUUUGGCCGAGGGCACGUCUGCCUGGGCGUCACGCAUCGCGUCGCCCCCCACAAUUCUCCGUAAAGGGAACGUGUGUUUUGGGGGCGGAUAUUGGUCUCCCGUGCUCAUGGCGUGGUUGGCCGAAAUAGGAGUCCUUUCGAUGGACGCACGAACUAGUGGUGGUCGUAAAAACCCUCGUCUUUUGUUUCGUGCUGUUGCUCGCAAGGUAAACUCUUUAAAAACCCCAAUGUGUCGUCUCUUGACGACGCUUCGACCGCGACCCCAGGUCAGGCGGGACUACCCGCUGAGUUUAAGCAUAUCAAUAAGCGGAGGA
rnacentral:misc_RNA from 1 species